rnacentral:lncRNA from 1 species
GCUCACGACAGCCUUUAACACUUCUGGCCUCCUCAGACUAUCAUUCAAAAGUCAUGUAAUCAUACCCAUACACAGACACACAUGCAUACACAUAAUUUUUAAAAAUGAAAAUGUCAGGCUGGGCAUUGGUGGAGCAUGCUUUUAACCCCAGCACUUGGAAGGCAGGCGGAUCUCUGUGAGUUUGAGGCCAGCGUGGUCUACAGAGCGAGUGCCAGGAUAGGUUCCAAAGCUACACAAAGAAACCCUGUCUCAAAAAACAAAAACAAAAAUUAAAUGUCUAUUUUAUAACCAAAAUUACUAUUUUUUAAAAGACUUCUAGCCAAAAGCUAGACCGCUGAGCCAUCUCUCCAGCCCCAUGUACAUAAUUUUAUAAAUUUUAUUUUUCUUUAUGGGUGACAGUCAAAAAAAUAUUUGAAAGUUUCUCUAACCUUUAUAAUUCAACUAAAUCAAGAAGAUUCCUAAAUUGAAGUUAAUAGCUCAUACCUAUAAUCCCUGUAUGCUGGCUAAUUUUAUGUCAACCUGUCACAAGUCAGAGUUGUAUGAAAAAAGGGAGCCUCAACUGAGAAAUUUCCUCCUUAAGAUCAGGCUGUAGGGAAGCCUACAGGGCAUUUUCUUAAUCAGUGAUUGAUGGGGGAGGGUCCAGCCCAUUUUGGGGCCACCCCUGAGCUGGUGGUCCUGACUUCGAUAAACAAGGCUGAGAAAAGUCAUGUAGAUCAAACCAAUAAGCAGCACCCCUGCAUGGCCUCUACAUCAGCUCCAGCCCUCACUGCCUCCACAAGUUGCUUUUUUUUGUUUUUCGAGACAGGGUUUCUCUGUGUAGUUUUGGAGCCUAUCCUGGCACUCGCUCUGGAGACCAGGCUGGCCUCGAACUCACAGAGAUCCGCCUGCCUCUGCCUCCUGAGUGCUGGAAUUAAACGCAUGCACCACCAACACCCGGCCACUCAGAUGAUUUUAUGGUCACUCAUUUUCUUAAUUACAUAA